ACACUCCUGCGGGAGGCAGCAGUGGGGAAUUUUGGACAAUGGGCGAAAGCCUGAUCCAGCAAUGCCGCGUGUGUGAAGAAGGCCUUCGGGUUGUAAAGCACUUUUGUCCGGAAAGAAAUCCUUGGCUCUAAUACAGUCGGGGGAUGACGGUACCGGAAGAAUAAGCACCGGCUAACUACGUGCCAGCAGCCGCGGUAAUACGUAGGGUGCGAGCGUUAAUCGGAAUUACUGGGCGUAAAGCGUGCGCAGGCGGUUUGCUAAGACCGAUGUGAAAUCCCCGGGCUCAACCUGGGAACUGCAUUGGUGACUGGCAGGCUAGAGUAUGGCAGAGGGGGGUAGAAUUCCACAUGUAGCAGUGAAAUGCGUAGAGAUGUGGAGGAAUACCGAUGGCGAAGGCAGCCCCCUGGGCCAAUACUGACGCUCAUGCACGAAAGCGUGGGGAGCAAACAGGAUUAGAUACCCGGGUAGUCCCAUGA
rnacentral:rRNA from 1 species